GGGGAGCCGGUGUGUGAAGCCGGCACCACGUUAGCGGAACCGAGUUAUUGAAGGGCCCCACCUGGGUGGAGCCGUGAGUGUGAGCAGCUUCCGCUUCCCCCGGAAGCUGGCGUCGUGCAGGAACCCUCACCCGCCCGAGCGGGGCCCUGGGCCUCCGGGUCACUCUCUGUGGCGGGGUCUGGCUGCGCGUCAGACGGCCUCCUCCAAUGCCCGCAGUUGCUGUCGCCCCCAGGCCUGGACCGGGGAGUGAGGGGUGGGCCUGACCGGCCCCUGAGCUCCCGUCAGCCCCCCACGCGAGCCCGUCCUGUGCUGGGGGCAGGGAGAUGGGCCGGUGGGAGAGGAGACCGCAUCCAGCCCUCCCUGGCCACCUGCAGGGUCCCCACCGUGGCGGCUGCUUUACUGCUAACUCCUCCCGGGGACCCCAAGUCCCCAUCGCUCUCGGGGGUCCCCCUCAUCCGAACCGCCUCGGAGGAGGGCCGCAUCUCACGCGGAGCACCCCUCCACGCCUGUGACCCUGGACUUGCUCUCCCGCCCCCGCCCGGGCCUCAGGGCUCAGGAGGCCGUGAUGAAGCCAGCAGGUGAACUGCACCCUGGAGCCUCCGACGGGGCGGCCACGGGCAGCGAAGAACCCGGAAAAACAGUACCCUUCUGAGGUUAAUCCGCGUUGAUAGAAGCAGGUGUGGUUCAUCUGGAAUCUGUUGGUGUGAACUGCGCGGCGGCGUCCCCCACCAGGCACCACAGGUGAUUCAUUCGUUUCCCUGAAAAGGCGCCUGGAUGCUGUUUCUAGCUCCCGUUAUCCCCAGCGAUGCUGCACCUGCCCCAGGACACACGCUAGGGUGGAACCGCCGGGCAUGGAGCAGGCCCGGCGGGUGGUGUGGGGGCCGCAUCUCAUGGAGGUCUCCGUCCACGUUGCCCCCAUUGUGACCGCAGCGGGCGCCUCUUGGUAGCAGCCACCGGCCUCUUCUGGGACUCGCCGGAGGGUUUCCACGUCGCCCGCUCCGACGGGGCUGUUCAUCUCCCCUUGAUCUGUGGGACUCCCCGUCCGUCUCAGGUAUGACCCCUUUGUUGGUGAUCUGGGUUGCAGAUAUCCCCUCUGUGUCUGUGGCUUGUCUCGCUGCGUUGUUUAUGGUGCGCUUUUGUCAUGCAGACGUUUCUAAUUUUGCUCUGUCUGGACUUGGCAAUCUUUCUGUUCGUGAUUUGUGCUUUUGGUGUUUAUGUACAAACUCUUUCCCGGUCCAGAAAGCAUAAAAAAGUUUGCUUUGUGCGCUG
rnacentral:lncRNA from 10 species